AUAUAGCCUGUCUUGUGGGUUGGGACGCCCAGAGCCUUCUGUGCUUUGCUUAAGAACAGUAGAUGAUGCUCACGAAGCCUCUGAAUCCCGCGUGCUUCCCAUGAGAAGGGCGCUGUUCCAUAGUGACAACAGUGGAUAUCAGCGCCAUGAAGGGUCCUUCCCGAGAGACUCCUGAAACACUCAUUUCGCAGCGAAGAUGCCUGCCAGCAAGACCGACUGGAAAAAGAAUUUUCUCUCCCAUUGACUUGGAUCAUAAAAUCAGAGACAGGUCCAACCAAUCUGGUCACACCGUGUUCACUGUAGCGGCCACGAAGGUGAUCCUGGAUCCCCGUCAAGAGAGAACUCGUCUUCCUCUGCAGGGGUGCAGUUGACGGACAGCCUCCAGCACAGCCCCCCGGGGCCCCUGCUCUUCCCGGGGAGGCCCAGCUGUGACUGCGCAGAGAGGGUGAGGGAUCUUUGCUGCAGAGCAGGGACUGUCCGCUUUGCACGGUGGUGCUGGUGGCCUCUCCCUGCCUGACCCUGCUUCCUUUCUUUUUAUCUUUUAUGGGCUUUUCCCUCCACCCACGUGAAACUUCGUUCACCCCCAACGCCAGCACCUGCUUCUCGGAGACCCCAACGGAUAGACUCACCCUUUAAACUCUGCACAUUAUGCACGUGACUUUGUUCUGGUUCGUUCCGAUUUCUUUUUUUAAUGGGAAGAUUACAUAAGAACGUUUUCAUACUCAGACUGGGACCUGAUCUACGUUUUCAAAAAAACUCCAAUCCCUGAGGUUGGAUGCUCCUGAAAUUGAACUUUCGGGACACCCCACCUCAUUCUCUCAGCAGAUCCUGCUACCCUUGAGAUCGUUUCUCCUUGAAAGCUUUUCCUGACCUCCUGACUUCAAUUUGCUAGACCCCCUUGUCCUAGCCUCCCCAGAUGAGUCCUUGGUGAAACUCAUCAAGCUCUCAGUUAGUUGUCCGAGGUCAGAUCCUUGCCCCUGAUCUCUUUGAAGUCACGAUCUAAAACUCUUGCUCACUGCUAAUCCCUCAGGACUCAGGCCAGUGCCUCGGCCACAGAAGCUGCUUAGUAAAUAGCUGACAGAGUGCUGAAUCUGCCAACCUAAAGGCUUGAAAAGCUGGCCCUUGACCAGAACUGAUGUAUCUGCCCCCAUUGUGUCCUCGGUCUUGGGGACAUCGCUCUUGCUUCCUGAUCACAGCACAGACCCGUAGAGUUGAGUGUUUAAAAAAACCCUAAGGGUUAUCCCAUCUGAUGUCAGACAGGUUGUGCGAUGUCCAACAAUCCAAGAUUUUCCAGUGUUAGCUUGACUACCAGGGGUGGAGACUACCUCGCAAGGCCACCACUGCCUCCUGGACAGCUCUGACCGUCACAUUUCCUACAGCUUUGGUCCACAUCAUAUUCACACCAUUUACUCUUUCCAUAAUGUGGACAACCUAAAUGGGCUCUCUGGCCCAAAGUGCUUUUGUUAAGGGGGCCGAAAGUUUUCUUCCUCCAAAUAGUCUCUCAAGUGGGGACCUAGCAAGAGUAAACUAGAAAUACUCCAGGGGCACCUUGGUGGCUCAGUCGUGUGAGCCUCUGACUCUCGGAUUUAGUUCAGGUCAGGUCAUGAUCUGGUGGUUCACGAGUUCAAGCCCUGCACCGGGCUCCUUCUCUCUCUCUCCCUACUCCCCUUUCUCAAAAUAAAUAAAUAAACUUAAAAAAAAAAAAAAGAGAG
ensembl:lncRNA